rnacentral:snRNA from 1 species
AUACUCUGGUUUCUCUUCAGAUCACAUAAAUCUUUCACCUUUUAAUAAAGACUUCCAUGGAGAGGAACAAUUCUGAGUUUUGAACCAAUUUUUUUGAGGCCUUGUUUCCACAAGGCU